ensembl:lncRNA
AUGCCUCUGUUAACAUAAACAUUUCUGUGACCUUGUGGUAUGGUAUCAUAAACCACUUCUUUCUUGAAUUGGUCUUGGCUCCCUGUCUUUCUUUAAACAGCAUGUGAAUGAGAGAAGCACUGUCACCCUUGAAAAGUUCUGUGUGACAAAGAACAGAUGGGGCUUGGGAAGAAUGGAAAGUAAAACAGAAUUGAAUUAAAGCCAAGGUUUGAGGAAUGAGAGCCAUGAACUGCACUUGAAGAUCCAAAGUCCCAGUCUAAAGUCUCCAAGAGUCUUGACUUGGAGAUAUUUCCUGUAUAUACACAAGAAAUCUGUUGAACUCAGGAGGCACAUGGAUGGACUUCACAGAGAGGUUAAGGGAGAAGACAGAGCUAUGAACUUCUGCAAAUGAAUCAGAUAACCUCAGGGAUCUGCUAUUAUGAUAGCUACUGCUAUAAAUCCAAUAUUCUCAGUGAUUGGAAUAGUCUUCAGGAAAUAGAACGUUCCUCCCUUGAAGACAUUACCUUUCUUCCAGAAAAGAUAUAAUUUGUGGCUCAGCUGAUCCUUCCAAAAGGUAAGUUUCUUGCCAAUACACAGCAUAGUUUGUAAAUGACCAUCUUCAUUUAUUAUUUUUGUGGGAAAACAGUCAAAUGAUGCAUAAUGGUAUAUAGAAGUGAUAUGUAAUAGUUCAAUUAUCCAUAAAAUAAUAUAGGUUCAACCCCAAAGAAAGUAGAAUACCAAAAAAAAAAAAAGAAAGAAGAAUAUCAUCCUGGAUAUGGGGACAGGUGCCCUCUCAUUUGGCAUCCUUACUGAUAAUUUCAGACAGACCUUGAAAAGGGAGAGUGCUGGUGAGAAUAUAAGGAAAGGGAACGGUGUGAGAUCAACUUGAAAUUUCUAAUCGCUUACUUCAUUUCUCUUUCUUUUCACAAACACUCUUUCCUGGUUGCAUAAACCACCAAUUCACCCUUUGCAGGCUGCCAAUAAAGCCAGCCAGCUGGAAGGUGUUUUCUCUUAUUUUCUUUAUCUUUUUUCCCCCACCAAACUAUAUUUAUUUUAUAUAAAAGAUUUCACCACACUCUAUGAAUAGCUCCAGAGCGAGGCUACUCCAACCCACAGAAUAUCUUCAGCAAAUUACAGCCAGCUCUCUAAUCUGUUUUUCAGCGAGGAUUUUCUCUUUUGCUUUUCUUUCAAUUUUUUUCCCUUGUUUCUCUUUAUGACUCUUAAAUUGUGUCUAUAAAGCAUUUUUAUUCCUGCCAGUUCUCUAGCUUAAUUGAAAGUGAAAAAAUGAAGAUAUCGGCUACUAAAUAAUAUUCCUCUCUUAACACUUGCAAAUCACCAAGAAUAUGUAGAAAUUAGUGAAUUGGAUUAUCCACUUGUGUCUGAUAGAGCCUUGAGAACUGUAGAAAGUUCCUCCCUUGAAGACAUUACCUUUCUUCCAGAAAAGAUAUAAUUUGUGGCUCAGCUGAUCCUUCCAAAAGGUAAGUUUCUUGCCAAUACACAGCAUAGUUUGUAAAUGACCAUCUUCAUUUAUUAUUUUGUGGGAAAACAGUCAAAUGAUGCAUAAUGGUAUAUAGAAGUGAUAUGUAAUAGUUCAAUUAUCCAUAAAAUAAUAUAGGUUCAACCCCAAAGAAAGUAGAAUACCAAAAAAAAAAAAAGAAAGAAAGAAGAAUAUCAUCCUGGAUAUGGGGACAGGUGCCCUCUCAUUUGGCAUCCUUACUGAUAAUUUCAGACAGACCUUGAAAAGGGAGAGUGCUGGUGA